rnacentral:rRNA from 1 species
ACGCUCGACACCUACGGGAAGCAGCAGUGGGGAAUAUUGCACAAUGGGGGAAACCCUGAUGCAGCGACGCCGCGUGAGCGAAGAAGUAUUUCGGUAUGUAAAGCUCUAUCAGCAGGGAAGAAACUGACGGUACCUGACUAAGAAGCACCGGCUAAAUACGUGCCAGCNGCGAGUAUNGNGCGGNNGNAG